rnacentral:rRNA from 1 species
CCUACGGGAGGCAGCAGUGGGGAAUAUUGGACAAUGGGGGGAACCCUGAUCCAGCGACGCCGCGUGAGUGAAGAAGUAUUUCGGUAUGUAAAGCUCUAUCAGCAGGGAAGAAAAUGACGGUACCUGACUAAGAAGCCCCGGCUAACUACGUGCCAGCAGCCGCGGUAAUACGUAGGGGGCAAGCGUUAUCCGGAUUUACUGGGUGUAAAGGGAGCGUAGACGGUGCAGCAAGUCUGAUGUGAAAGGUCGGGGCCCAACCCCGGGACUGCAUUGGAAACUGUUGAACUGGAGUGCAGGAGAGGUAAGUGGAAUUCCUAGUGUAGCGGUGAAAUGCGUAGAGAUUAGGAAGAACACCAGUGGCGAAGGCGACUUACUGGACUGUAACUGACGCUGAGGCAUGAGAGCAUGGGGAGCAAACAGGAUUAGAUACCCUAGUAGUC